GGCCUGUUAGCUCAGUUGGUUAGAGCGUGGUGUUGAUAACACCAAGGUCGUGGGUUCGAUCCCACUCGGCUCC
rnacentral:tRNA from 1 species